rnacentral:lncRNA from 1 species
AGGAACAACCAGUAUGAAUCAUAAGCAUACCAAAUGGUAAGAAAUAAUGACACUGGGGGAGGACUCAAGAUGGCGCUGUGAGAACAACCCAGGAUUGAAGCUCUCGCUGGAUGCACGGAGAGGGUAAGUUGGGGAAGCAUUUCCAGACGGAUCUUAGUUGCCCAUAGAAUGGGGAAAUUCCCAGGUAUAAAAGAGACGCGGGACGCCAGGCAGAGGUCUCCGGUGGCAUAGCCAGCAGCUGGUGCAGCUCCGGCCCGUGCCGGAGCACAGAGGCACUCCACAGCACUCCAUACAAAAGCGCACUGUUAUGGGUGCCCUGUUGAACUGGCAAACUAAGACCCGAGAGGGCUGAACUUGAGACUGAACGGGUCUUGAACUGUGACCCAGCCCAGGAAAUCCCAGGGACUCAGCGUUUGGGGGAGUGCAGUGCGACAAACAAAACGGCGAUUCCAAAUGCUCCCAGUGAAAAGGUUUUUUUAAAGCGCAGCUCCACGGGGGAGGGGCGUCAGCCAUUACCGAGGCAAUCAGCCCCUACUGAGGUACACGUCCAUUGCUGACACAGCCUGCCAUUGCCGAGGCAACCCGGUACAACAGAGAGACUCCGCCACAGGGCAUAGCCCUUGGCAACAGGGCGGAGACCACAGCAGAAGGGCAGAGCCUGCAGCAAAAGGGCGAACCUCACACCAGCAGGGCGGAGCCUCAGCAGGCAAAAAGUGACUAGAGCCCUGUUGAACCGGCAAACUAAGACCCGAGAGGGCUGAACUUGAGACUGAACGGGUCUUGAACUGUGACCCAGCCCAGGAAAUCCCAGGGACUCAGAGUUUGGGGGAGUGCAGUGCGACAAACAAAAUGGCGAUUCCAAAUGCUGCCGGUGAAUAGGUUUUUUAAAGUGCAGCUCCGUGGGGGAGGGGCGUCAGCCAUUACCGAGGCAAUCAGCCCCUACUGAGGUACACGCCCAUUGCUGACGCCGUUGCUGAGGCAACCCGGUACAACAGAGAGACUCCGCCGCAGGGCGCAGCCCGUGGCAACAGGGCGGAGACCACAGCAGAAGGGCAGAGCCUGCAGCAAAAGGGCGAACCUCACACCAGCAGGGCCGAGCCUCGGCAGGCAAAAAGUGACUAGACUGCCUCCUAGCUGGGCAGGACAGCGAGGCAGACACUCACAAAAAAAGCCCCAACCCCCCCCCCAGACAGAGCAUCUGAGGAAAAGAAGGGGUUUUCUUAUGAGUUAGGUUGCAGCAGAACUAAACA